ensembl:lncRNA
CCCAAGGAUCAAACCUGUGUCUCCUGCCUUGCAGGUGGAUUCUUUACUACUGAGCCACUGGGGAAGCCCAUUUUCUUCUACUGCCCUCCUUUUAAAACCAGGAAUAGUGUAUUGUGCACACAUUGCUCUGUACCUGGACUUUUGGAGUUUUCCCCCCAUUUGAUAAUAUGUCUGGAUACUUUUUCCACAUUAGUUUAUAAAACUUCAUUCUUUUUGAUAGUGAUGGUGAUGAUGGUGGUGGUGGUGGUAAUGGUGGUGGUGGUGGUGGUGGUGAUGGUGAUGGUGGUGGUGGUGGUGAUGAUGGUGGUGGUGGUGGUGGUGAUGAUGGCAGCGGUGGUGGUGGUGAUGGUGGUCGUGGUGGUGGUGAUGAUGGUGGUGGUGGUGGUGGUGAUGGUGAUGGUGGUGAUGGUGGUCGUGGUGGUGGUGAUGAUGGCGGUGGUGGUGAUGAUGGCGGUGGUGGUGGUGAUGAUGGUGGUGGUGGUGGUGGUGAUGGUGGUGGUGGUGGUGGUGAUAAUGGCGGUGGUGGUGGUGAUGGUGGUCGUGGUGGUGGUGAUGGUGGUGGUGGUGAUGGUGGUCAUGGUGGUGGUGGUGAUGGCGGUGGUGGUGGUGGUGAUGAUGGCGGUGGUGGUGGUGGUGAUGGUGGUCGUGGUGGUGGUGAUGGUGGUGGUGGUGAUGGUGGCGGCGGUGGUGGUGGUGAUGGUGGUGGUGGUGGUGGUGGCGGUGGUGGUGGUAGUGAUGGUGGUGGUGGUGAUGGUGGCGGUGGUGGUGUUGAUGGUGGUGGUGGUGGUGAUGAUGGUGGUGGUGGUGGUGAUGGUGGUGGUGGUGAUGGUGGUGGUGGUGGUGAUGGUGAUGGUGGUGGUGGUGGUGAUGGUGGUGGUGGUGAUGGUGGUGGUGGUGAUGAUGGCGGUGGUGGUGGUGAUGAUGGCGGCGGCGGCGGUGGUGAUGGUGGUGAUGGUGGUCGUGGUGGUGGUGGUUGUGGUGGUGGUGGUUGUGGUGGUGGUGAUGAUGGUGAUGAUGAUGGCAGUGGUGGUGGUGGUGAUGAUGGUGGUGGUGGUGGUGAUGGUGGCAGUGGUGGUGGUGGUGAUGAUGGCGGUGGUGGUGGUGAUGGUGGUGGUGGUGGUGAUGGUGGUGAUCAUGGUGGUGGUGAUGGCGGUGGUGGUGAUGGUGGUGGUGAUGAUGGCGGUGGUGGUGAUGGUGGUGGUGGUGAUGGUGGUGGUGAUGCUGAUGGUGGUGGUGGUGGUGAUGGUGGUGGUGGUGAUGGUAGUGAUGAUGGUGGUGGUGGUGAUGGUGACGGUGGUGGUGGUGAUGGUGACGGUGGUGGUGGUGGUGUUGAUGGUGGCAAUGAUGAUAGUGGUGGUGUUGGUGGUGGUGACGAUGGUGGUGGUGACGAUGGUGGUGUUGGUGGUGAUGAUGGUGGUGAUGGUGGUAGUGAUGGUGGUGGUGAUGGUGGUGGUGGUGGUGGUGGUGGUGGUGAUGGUGGUAGUGAUGGUGGUGGUGGUGAUGGUGAUGGUGGUGAUGAUGGUGGUGGUGGUGGUGGUGGUAGUGAUGGUGGUGGUGAUGGUGUUGGUGGUGAUGGUGGUGGUGAUGGUGGUAGUGAUGGUGGUGGUGAUGGUGGUGGUGGUGGUGAUGGUGGUGGUGGUGGUGGUGAUGGUGGUAGUGAUGGUGGUGGUGGUGGUGAUGAUGGUGGCGGUGGUGGUGAUGGUGGUGGUGAUGGUGGUGGUGGUGAUGGUGAUGGUGGUGAUGAUGGUGGUGGUGGUGGUGGUAGUGAUGGUGGUGGUGAUGGUGGUGGUGGUGAUGGUGGUGCUGAUGGUGGUAGUGAUGGUGGUGGUGGUGAUGGUGAUGGUGGUGAUGAUGGUGGUGGUGAUGGUGGUGGUGAUGGUGGUGGUGAUGGUGGUGGUGGUGAUGGUGAUGGUGGUGAUGAUGGUGGUGGUGGUGGUGAUGGUGGUAGUGAUGGUGGUGGUGGUGAUGGUGAUGCUGGUGGUGAUGAGGGUGAUGGUGGUGAUGGUGUGGUAGUCACUGAUUGAAUCUGUUGUGUGCACCAGACAUUGUUUU